rnacentral:rRNA from 1 species
AGGACGAACGCUGGCGGCGUGCCUAACACAUGCAAGUCGAACGGACGAGGGGAGCUUGCUCCCCAAGUUAGUGGCGGACGGGUGAGUAACACGUGAGCAACCUGCCCUUCGGAGGGGGACAACAGUUGGAAACGACUGCUAAUACCGCAUAACGUAUCCUGGAGGCAUCUCCGGGAUACCAAAGAUUUUAUCGCCGAAGGAUGGGCUCGCGUCUGAUUAGAUAGUUGGCGGGGCAACGGCCCACCAAGUCGACGAUCAGUAGCCGGACUGAGAGGUUGAACGGCCACAUUGGGACUGAGAUACGGCCCAGACUCCUACGGGAGGCAGCAGUGGGGAAUAUUGGGCAAUGGGGGGACCAACCCUGACCCAGCAACGCCGCGUGGAGGAAGAAGGCUUUCGGGUUGUAAACUCCUUUGACGAGGGACGAUAAUGACGGUACCUCGAAAACAAGCCACGGCUAACUACGUGCCAGCCGCUGC